GAGUUUGAUCCUGGCUCAGAGUGAACGCUGGCGGCGUGGAUUAGGCAUGCAAGUCGAGCGAUCCCGUAAGGGAUAGCGGCAAAAGGGUGAGUAACACGUAAGUAAUCUGCCUUCAAGUCGGGGAUAGCAUCGUGAAAACGGUGGUAAUAUCCGAUGUUAUCAAGGAUCCGCAUGGAUUCUUGAUCAAAGAUGGGGACCGUAAGGCCUGUCACUUGGAGAUGAGCUUGCGUACCAUCAGCUAGUUGGUAGGGUAAUGGCCUACCAAGGCUAAGACGGUUAGCUGGUCUGAGAGGACGACCAGCCACAUUGGGACUGAGACACUGCCCUGACUCCUACGGGAGGCUGCAGUCGAGAAUAUUUAGCAAUGGGCGAAAGCCUGACGCAGCAACGCCGCGUGAGUGAUGAAGGCCUUCGGGUCAUAAAGCUCUGUCAGAGGGGAAGAACCGCCGGGUGGCUAAUACCUGCCUGGUCUGACGGUACCCUCAAAGGAAGCACCGGCUAACUCCGUGCCAGCAGCCGCGGUAAUACAAGGGCGMMY
rnacentral:rRNA from 1 species